GACGUAGGGGGCGAGCGUUGUCCGGAUUUACUGGGCGUAAAGGGCGCGUAGGCGGUUGGUUAAGUGUGGUGUGAAAUCUCCAGGGCUCAACCCGGAAAUUGCACCGCAUACUGGCUGGCUAGAGGAGCGCAGAGGUGACUGGAAUUCCCGGUGUAGCGGUGAAAUGCAUUGAUAUCGGGAGGAACUCCAACGGCGAAGGCAGGUCACUGGGCGCCCCCUGACGCUGAUGCGCGAAAGCGUGGGUAGCAAACAGG
rnacentral:rRNA from 1 species